rnacentral:rRNA from 1 species
AACGUAGGACGCGAGCGUUAUCCGGAGUUACUGGGCGUAAAGCGCGGGCAGGCGGUCUGACAAGUCUGAUGUGAAAUCUCCGGGCUUAACCGGGAGAGGCCAUUGGAAACUGACAGGCUGGAGGGCAGUAGAGGUAGGCGGAAUUCCGGGUGGAGUGGUGAAAUGCGUAGAGAUCCGGAGGAACACCAGAGGCGAAGGCGGCCUACUGGGCUGCACCUGACGCUGAGGCGCGAAAGCUAGGGGAGCGAACAGG